rnacentral:rRNA from 1 species
UACGGAGGAUCCAAGCGUUAUCCGGAAUAACUGGGCGUAAAGCGUUGCGUAGGCGGCAUGUUAAGCGGAGUGUGAAAUCGUACGGCUCAACCGUACGGCUAUGCUCUGAACUGACAAGCUAGAGAGUGAGAGAGGUUACUGGAAUUUCUAGUGUAGGAGUGAAAUCCGUAGAUAUUAGAAGGAACACCGAUGGCGUAGGCAGGUAACUGGCUCAUUUCUGACGCUCAGGCACGAAAGCGUGGGGAGCAAACGGG